CCUUUUCUUCUACUAGUUAGAAGCAGGAGUUUUGUUUUGUUCAAUAAAUAAAUAUGUAGCUUCUCUUGCAGGCAGGCAAUAGGGAGAGGGUUUAGGCUAUGAUUAAUGAACUGUUUGCUUUUGAGUCAAGAAAAACUGGCCAAUUUGGACAUAGUGUGGCCCUGCAACCUGAUGCUGAGCAACCCACAGAAGCCCUAUGGAGUUAUGACACCCUAUACCCCUCAUCAGGUUAUGCUAUUGAGAUUCUGAGGAGCCCAACAAUAUCUCAAAAAUAAAAAGGAGUCCCUUCCAGGGAUGUGAGUGAGCAAGGCCCUGAACUAAUCAGAAAAGUGAAGACUCAUCAUACCUGGGGCAUCUGGAAACUUCAACAUAGGCCAAUGGCUAGAUACCCAGCAUAAAAAUAACAUCAGGCUGUUUAGCACAAUAGUCCUCUGGUCUUCUAGACUGCGUGACCCAAGACCUCCAGUGGACACUUCAAAGCACAGAAAGUGCCAACACCUCAAUAAGCUGUUUUUCCUAUACACCUUGCAGUGUUGCCAUGUAGUACCAGUGUUGCUAGAGUUAGUCUGUCUUUUUAUGCUCUGCUGUCUCCUUUGAAGCACCACUCUCAUGCUUUGGAGUCAUUAGUAAAUAAGUAAUACAAGUACUACAAUACCAUCUAUCAAAUAUUCAAGGUGGAUAAUGAGUGAUGAACAGGCCCAACUGCACUUGCCAGAUGUUUGUGGUGUGUGAAUGCAUGAAGAAACAAGUCUGUUUAUUUGAAACCAAGGCCAACGCUCAAAUAAAGAAUUUUUAAAUUAUUUCAUAAUGAUGAUGAAUAAAAUUAAAAGCUGAGUAAAUUUAAUACACCAAAUUGACUAUCUGUUCUUCCUAGUACUCUAGAGAACGAUGAGAUACCACCCAGAACCCUGUACCUUUGGUUCAU